ensembl:lncRNA
CAGCCCAAAACACCCAGAAUCACCCCAAAAAUAUCCCAAAAUCACCCCAAAAAUAUCCCAAAAUCACCCCAAAAUAACCCCAAAACACCCCAAAAUCACCCAAAAAUCACCCAAAAAUCACCCAAAAAUCCACCCAAAAUCACCCAAAAUCACCCAAAAAUCAGCCAAAAUCACCCCAAAAAAACCAAAAAACCCCAAAAUCACCCCCAAAUCACCCAAAACACCCCAAAAUCACCCCAAAACCACCCCAAAAACCCUCAAAAACACCCCGAAACCACCCCAAAACAGCCCAAAAAACCCCAAAAUAUCCCAAAAACCCCCCAAAAAAAUCCCAUAAAAAUCCCAAAAUCACCCAAAAUCACCCAAAACACCCCAAAAACAGCCCAAAACAGCCCAAAAUCACCCAAAAUCACCCCCAAAAUAUCCCAAAGACCCCAAAAUAUCCCAAAAACCCCCAAAAUAUCCCAAAAUCACCCAAAAUCACUCAAAAAACACCCCAAAAUCACCCGAAAACCCCCAAAAACACCCAAAAAUUCCCCAAAAAACCCAAAAAUCACCCCAAAUCACCCCAAAAUCACCCAAAAAACCCCAAAAAUCCCAAAAAAAUCCCCAAAAAUCCCCAAAAAAUCCCCAAAAAUCCCCCAAAAACCCCACAUCACCCCAAAAAUCCCCAAAAAACACCCAAAACACCCCAAAAUCACCCAAAAUAUCCCAAAAUCCCCAAAAUUCCCAAUUUUUGCGUUUUUUUUCCCAAAUUUUGGGGUUUUUUCCCCAAUUUUUGGGGUCCCAGAUCCCAAAUUUUGGGGUUUUUUUCCCCAGAUUUUGUUUCCUUUUCCCAAAUUUUGGGGUUUUUUUCCCCAUUUUUUGUUUCUUUUCCCAAAUUUUGGGGUUUUUUCCCCAAUUUUGAGGUCCCAGAUACCAAAUUUUGGGGUUUUUUCCCCCCAUUUUUUGUUUCUUUUCCCAAAUUUUGGGGUUUUUUCCCCAAUUUUGAGGUCCCAGAUACCAAAUUUUGGGGUUUUUUCCCCAUUUUUGGGGUCCCAGAUCCCAAAUUUUGGGGUUUUUUCCCCAUUUUUUGGGGCUUUUUCCCCAAAUUUUGGGGUUUUUUUCCCCAUUUUUGGGGUCCCAGAUCCCAAAUUUUUGGGGUUUUUCCCAAAUUUUGGGGGUUUUUCCCCAUUUUUGGGGUCCCAGAUCCCAAAUUUUGGGUUUUUUUUCCCAAUUUUUGGGGUUUUUUCCCCGAUUUUUGUUUCCUUUUCCCAAAUUUUGGGGUUUUUUCCCAAAUUUUUGUUUUCUUUUCCCAAAUUUGGGGUUUUUUUCCCCAUUUUUUGGGUUUUUUUCCCCAAUUUUUGUUUCCUUUUCCCAAAUUUUGGGGUUUUUUCCCCAAAUUUUUGGUUCCUUUUCCCAAAUUUGGGGUUUUUUCCCCAUUUUUUUGGUUUUUUUCCCCAUUUUUGGGUUCCUUUUCCCAAAUUUGGGGUUUUUUUCCCCAUUUUUGGUGUUCCCAGGGCUGGAACCGUCCAAGGAGGACGAAGAGAACCCGAAUUCCUUCGGAGCCCGAGUGCGGCGCACCCAGGUGGGGCCGGGGGGAUUUUGGGGGAAUUUGGGGGAAUUUGGGGAUUUUGGGAAUUUUUGGGAAUUUUGGGAAUUUUUGGGAUUUUUUGGGAUUUUUUUGGGAUUUUUUGGGGAAUUUUUUUGGAUUUUUUGGGAUUUUUUGGGGAUUUUUUGGGAAUUUUGGGGAAUUUUUUUGAAUUUUUGGGGGGAUUUUUUUUUACUUUUCUUGGAAUUUUGGGGGAAUUCUGGGGGAAUUUGGGGGAUUUUGGGGAUUUUGGGAAUUUUUGGGGAUUUUUUGGGGAAUUUUGGGAAUUUUUGGGGAUUUUUUUUGGGAUUUUUGGGAUUUUUUUGGAUUUUUUUGGGAAUUUUUUGGGGAUUUUUUGGGAAUUUUUUGGGGAUUUUUUGGGAAUUUUUGGGGAUUUUUUUUGAAUUUUAGGGGGAUUUUUUGGGAUUUUUUUGGGAAAUUUUUGGGGGAUUUUUUGGGAUUUUUUGGGAUUUUUGGGGGGAUUUUUGGGAA